CUGUAAAGGUAUGUUAGGCUGUAGAGCUAGUACUCGAAAGAGGCAUACCGAAGAA
rfam:Cetobacterium somerae ATCC BAA-474 genomic scaffold Scaffold56, whole genome shotgun sequence.